UACGGGGGGGGCAAGCGUUGUUCGGAAUUACUGGGCGUAAAGGGCUCGUAGGUUGCCAACUAAGUCAGACGUGAAAUCCCUCGGCUUAACCGGGGAACUGCGUCUGAUACUGGCGAGCUUGAGUGCAGGAGAGGAACGCGGAAUUCCAGGUGUAGCGGUGAAAUGCGUAGAUAUCUGGAGGAACACCGGUGGCGAAGGCGGCGUUCUGGACUGCAACUGACACUGAAAAACGAAAGCCAGGGGAGCAAACGGG
rnacentral:rRNA from 1 species